GAGGUGAGUAGAGGCGCGUUGCAUCAUCAGUACCGCGGGGAGAGCCCGAAAGCUCUGGGAACCGAUUGGGAAAGGGAUCAUCGCCGAAGCUUGGGCCGCUUUUCGGGUUGCUCACGGCUGGGUCUGCAUCGAACAGGUGCAGGACUGUCACACAGGAGGGGCCCACCACCUGUGUGGAGGACUAUCUCACAU
rnacentral:ncRNA from 1 species